rnacentral:lncRNA from 1 species
UUUUGCUAUUUUGUGGGAAAGAGAUGAUUUAUUUGAUCCAUACAAUUCAGUAACACUUGCCAAAGUAGCUUAAGAUGGAUGCUUUGAAAUCUAAUUUUGUUUAUCAUACUGAAUGACCCUGGUCAAAUCAGAAAUCAGAGGUGGUUCAAGAUAAUUGGUCGAUUGCUUGAUUAAUCUGGAGAGGGAGAAGAAGAUAGAAAUCCGAAAAAACUAAGCCAUUGUUUAGAAUGAAGUGUGACAAAAUAAAAUCGUGGGUUUUGAGUCUUCACUCAUCAAACUGAGGUUUGGAUUUAGGUUCCUUCACUUUUUUGCUGUCUUAAGCCUUAAAUCUGGAGAUUGUAGCCUUAAAUCUGGAGAUUGUCUGCUGCACGGUGAAAGACAGGAAGAAGUUAAUAAUCUAUAACAACUUGCAAGCCAUCUAUAACUCAUCUAGUAAUUCUGUAUCAUUACCCAUCCUUACCUGGAAUGGAAAUUUUCCAGGCCUCUCUGAUAUCCUCGAUGAGUAUCUUCAGAUCAUUAGAUGAAUCUGCAAGUAGAUUUUUUGCUUGUUCUCUUUGUUUGUAAAUUCCGUGUUGUGUUUGGUAACGCAUUCGCAUUUUGUUUGAAAGCCUUUUACAUAGUGCGUUUGAGCUGAAAAAAGCAUCAAGUUAGUGUCUUUUCAUAUACUUUUGGAUAAUUUUGAUAGUAGAUGUCAAAAACAUCAAAUAGCACUUGAAAAACAUCAAAAAGCACAUGAAAAGGCAUCAAAAUCAAAUUCGAC